rnacentral:rRNA from 1 species
CUACGGGGCGCACCAGGCGCGAAACCUUUACACUGCACGAAAGUGUGAUAAGGGAACUCUAAGUGCUUACCUUUUGGUAGGCUUUUGCCAAAAUUAAACCCUUUGGCGAAUAAGUGGUGGGAAAGACGGGUGCCAGCCGCCGCGGUAACACCUGCGCCACAAGUGGGAACCAUUUUUAUUGGGCCUAAAGCGUCCGUAGCCGAUCCAGCAAAUCUUCUGUGAAACUGUUAUGCUCAACAUAAUAACGUGCAGGAGACACUACUUGGAAUUGGAACUGGAAGGAGUCAGAAGUAUUUCUGGGGGAGCGGUAAAAUGUUAUAAUCUCAGAAAGACUACCUGUGGCGAAAGCGUCUGACUAGUACAGAUUCGACGGUGAGGGACGAAAGCCAGGGGAGCAAUCCGGAUUAGAUACCCGAGUAGUC